rnacentral:rRNA from 1 species
UUGGAGGCAGGAAUGAAUGGUUGGACAAGGGGGAAGCUGUCUCUUUUUACAAUUUUUGAAUUUUACUUUUAAGUGAAAAGGCUUAAAUAAUUUGGGGGGACGAUAAGACCCUAUAAAAUUUUACAAAAUUGGGAUUUUUUUUUGAAUUAAGGUUUAAAUUCUAUAAGUUCUUAUUUGUUUUGUUGGGGCGGCAAAGAUAAAAAUUAGUAACUGUCAUUUAAUUAGAAUAAUUAUAAUUAGUUUAAUUGAUCCUUUAUUAGAGAUUAAAAGAUUAAGUUACUUUAGGGAUAACAGCGUAAUUUUCCCUGAGAGUUCUUAUCGACGGGAGUAGUUGCGACCCCGAUGUUGAAUUAAGGA